rnacentral:rRNA from 1 species
AUUGAACGCUGGCGGCAGGCCUAACACAUGCAAGUCGAGCGGAGCGGCGGACGGGUGAGUAAUGCCUAGGAAUCUGCCUGGUAGUGGGGGAUAACGUCAGGACACGGGCGCUAAAACCGCAACAUAUAAGAUGAGCAUAGGUCGGAUAAGCGAGUUGGUGGGGGAAAGGCCUAACAAGGCGACGACCCGUAACUGGUCUGAGAGGAUGGUCAGUCACACUGGAACUGAGACACGGUCCAGGAUCAUCCGGGAGGCUGCAGUGGUGAAUAUUGCAAAAUGGGAGAAAGCCUGAUGCAGCAACGCCGCGUGUGUGAAGAAGGUCUGCGGAUUGAAAAGCACUUUGAGUUGGGAGGCGUUACCAACAGAGUAAGCACCGGCUAACUUCGUGCCAGCAGCCGCGGUAAUUC